rnacentral:pre_miRNA from 1 species
CAUGUCGUUAAAAUGUUUGUGACUUUAUGUUGUGUCUCUAUUCAUAUCACAGCCAUUUUGACGAGUUUGG